CAGCAGGGGAGUGACAGGAUGGAGAAACAACUGUAGAGGAGCAAGAGAUAGUGGUGACUCGGACCAAAGUGGAAGCAGUGGAGAUGAGGAGAGGUGGUCAAAUUCCAGACAGUACUCGAAACACAUUCAUCACAGUCGAAAGGAAGUGAAGAGACCCAGAAGGGAAGCAAGAUACCGAGAUGCUGCCAAGUAUCCCAGAGUCCAUGAUGGAGUGGAGAUGAAACAAUAGACCCAGGUCAUUCCUCCGCUGGAGGUUCUGAGGCAACCAGUAGUGCUCUGUAGAUGAACAUUCAUGACAACUUGCCUUUCAACUGGAGGUGUGUGACAACCAGAAAAAUACCAUCGAGCUAAAGCUUUUUUCUCCUAGAAGAGCAACUGACUCACAGCAGCAUGUUGUUAUGUGGACUUCGAGUCUGUGGACUAGUGGACCUUCACCUCCUUCAGGGUGUGGGGCUUUCCAGAGCUUCCAGUCCUCCAGUGAGAACCCUAACCCACAUUCCUGCAUUUGAUGACUUUGAGUUAAAUCAAGAAAAGCUUGGAAAUUUGGACA